GAAGAAGUUGCCAUAAAUUCUACCAAUUAGGGAACUGCAGUGCCUUCCCCUUGAGUGCUGGAUAAUUGGACAGGUGAAAACAGUAUGGUGCCAUCAAAUGAAGGCACAUCUGAGUCAUCCUGAGCUUUUGUUCACCAGCUCGCAUAGGAUUGUAUCAGAACACAACUGCCUUAAAGAUUGGCUCAAUUUUCAGUAAUCCUGCAUUUGUUGAUGAGGAGAAGAAUCUCUGUUGGGGAAGAUGUUGCAUCCUGCAGCUACCGAACUGAAAUAAAUAAGAAAUUCUUCAUUGGCAAACCGAAGCCAACUCCAGAACAACUGAGGGACAGACGAUGGGAUCAAGAACCACUCAUCAAGAGGAGCACUACACCUGCAACGCUGACACUUCCGAUGUUGCUGAUGUUUAUGGUGUCCCUGACGAUUACAGCGUGUGGCAAACAACUACAAUGGAUGCAAGAACAUAUGCAGAAGAUUAAAGAAGAGCAUGAUCCCUUUGGGAGCUGGCUGGCUGGACUGUUUGGGGGAACGGGUUCAUGGUUAAAGCAACCACUUAAGGUUUUCGCAAUAGGGUUUGCCAUCUUUGUGUGUAUUCUAAUCUGUCUUCCAUGCUUUGUAGGGUGCUUGCAGAACUUCCUUCAACAACUGAUGGAAAAGACUUCUGACUAUCACAGACUGUGUGAAAAGUUGUAGAGGGGUUUAGGUUGUUGCGUUCGUGCUGUAACGGGGCAAGGCUUGGCCGAGCACGGGAAAAGAUUUCCUGUUGCUCUGAUGUUUGCUUAAGAAUUGUAGAAGAAAGUAUUAGGAAUAGUGUGCUGAAAUAUAUUUAGGAUUAGGCGUUUUGCACUGCUUUGCGAUGUACAGGUUAGGCGUGUGUGUAAGUAGUAUUUAGCUUAGGGAGGGGGAGAUGUUGUAGUAGGCGUCUUGCGGGGGCACAGGAUGUAUGGGACAGGCCUCUCCCUAAGCACAGAGAGACAGUGCUAUCGUGCUGACCUUGAUGCAGAGAAAACAGAAGAAGAAGAAGGAUGAGAAAAGAAUGUGGAAACGGCCAAAUAAGGCACAAUGUUAUCUGGUGUGAACCAAUCAGAGUGGGACAUGACAGCACGGUUAUGUAGGUAAAAUGUAUAUAAGCUGUGUUUAGCAGUGAAUAAAUGCCAUUUUGCUGCUCAUCAUAUUGGUGUGCGUCUGCAGUCGUUUGGCCCUGAUCAGGUUAUUGGUCAGUGAGCGCAGAGGCCUAACACAGGUGGCUAACAUCAUUGUUGCAGAAAGCAACAACAUUUGGGAUGGAGUUUGUGGCAUGAUUUCUGCAAGUAGCAACUGGGGAAGUAACUCAUCAUUUCAAUUAAAUAUAAUUUCAAAUAACUUUGUGGAUCAUCACUGGCCAUCAUCCAUCUUAAGCAGAGCUCAGAGAUGACAGAAUCUUGUGAAAUUUCCAUUUUAUAACUUAUCCCUGAGAUGUGAAAUCCACCACGAAUCCCCUUUGCUUCCUCUUCCAAAGCUUGCAGAAAGACUGUCCAAAGCUUGCAGAAAGAAAGCAAUGAAAGACUAAGAGAGUGAUCAAGAUUUAGAUCACAGCUUGCCUCUGCUCUAGUGUUGUGUAUGUCCCCAAGAUGCUGAAAUGCAGGAGUGGUCUCUGCCAAUGGAUCUGUGAAUUGUCUUUUUCUGUCACACUAUAGAAUCUUUUCUCAUA
ensembl:lncRNA